AACCUGUUGUUUUUAUAACAGGUAUGAUUAAAUAACAGGUGCAAAAUACCUGUUCCGGAAAAUAUUGGUCAGCUCUACUGGCAACCCUGGUACUCUUAUUUAACAGAAAUAUACAGUUAAGAGCGUUUCCAAAAAACCUUUGUCUAAAUGUCUUGUUUUUUAAAAGUCCUUCAAAAAAUGACUGAAGCUUGCAUUAUCAUCCUGAAGAGAGCUCCAGCUUAAAUAUGAGAUCUCCAUCUAAUACUGUGAUUAAAAUUGUUUACUUUUUUAAGCAAUCUUGUCGAACAUGCUGUAAAUAUUGUAUUACUCGAUGAUAUAAACCUGUUUCAAAGUGAUAUUUUGUUAGAUCAGUACCCUGAUUCUAUCGACGACAGAGGUUAUCUAUUUACUCCUUAUGAACCCAUAGAAGAUGAACCCAUUCCAGAAGUAUCUCCACAAUCAAAAAUAACAUGUAUGUAUUGUUCUAAAGUAUUUGCACACAAACGAUAUUUAGUGGAUCAUUUAAAUACUCAUACAGGGAAAAAGCCGCACAUCUGUAAAUAUUGUUCUAAAGCUUUUACCCAAAGAGCAUCUAGAAAUCGGCAUGUAAAACUUUGUCACAAAGAUAUUAUAAGUCAAUUGAAUGAUAUAAACAAUUUAUUGUGAUCUAUAUUUCUGCUGUACUAUGUUUAAUAAAAUUGCUAUUGUCCAAGAA
rnacentral:misc_RNA from 1 species